AGAGGAGGACCUUCACUUCUUCUGGGUAGUUGUACCUUUGGAUAACUGAGAGGCCAGAACACUCAGAUUGAGGAUGCGCUGAACAUGUAUGAUAGAAUAGGUACAAACUGAACACUCAGUUUAGACCACAGGGUGAAGGUAUGAGAAUCUAACACCUGCUGGUGAGGUCUGAGGAUAGGAAGACACCACAUCCCUCAAGGAUUAGGUUUUCAGGUGCUGGUUCCAUGGCUCUUCCUGAGCCGAAAAUAAGGAAACUCCAUAGACCUUGUCCACUGGAACUCGUUCCCAUCUACCCUCCACUCUAUCCAGCCCCAUGAGGACAAGGAACAUGAUUGGUUUUGCUCACUGCCGUAUCUUCCGUACCUAGUACGUAACAGGACAUCAAUAAAUAUUAGUUGAAUGGAAGAUUAAAUCAACAAAAUGGGUGAUGGAUCUCUGCAGUAAGUGGAAGAGUUCUUCAUGGCCCCCAAGGUUAUAUCCAUCUAGAACUUCAGCACGUAAUUUCAUCUGGAAAUAGUGCCUUUGCGGAUAUAAGUUAGGUAAAACUGAAGAUGAGAUCAUACUGGAUUAGGAUGGGAUCUAAAUCCAAUGAAAAUGUCUUCAUAAAAAACAGGAAAGAACCCAUAGAAACACAAGGAAGAAGGUCAUGUGAAGAUGGAGGCAGAGAUUGGAGGGAUGCAGCCACCGGCCCAGGAAUGCCAGCAGCCACCCAGAAGCUGGAAGGAAAUGAGGGAUUCUCUCCUAGAACCUUUAGAGAGAACAUGGUCCUGUGAACAGCUUGAUUUUGGACUUGCCCAUAGCUUGUAUACUCUUACUUUGGAUACAAUUUUAUCCAAACUUGGCUAAACAGUUUCUCAGCCUAUGGAAAAUUUAAAAUGGAGAAGAUUCAACUCGAUUCUUACAGAUUCAAAGCAAGAAAAUGAUGGGAACAUAGGAGGAGACCAAGAAAGCCUAUAAAAAGCAAAAAUAUGAAGUGAACAUUGUGGUAGCUUUAAGAUGUUUAGUGUAGCUGCAGGCACCCUAUACACAUGAAAACCCCCAAGGGGAAUCCCCAUAUCACAGUGUAGUGUGAUAUUUGACAUUCGUGAUCAUCUAGAGAUGUACAGAAAAGGUGAAUCUGUGUUCUGUAUAUUCUGCCUAAGGCAAAGAAAUGUUUAGCUCUCUUUAAAAUAGUUCCAUAAUUUUUUCUAAAAAGCUUUGCUUGAAAACUGUAAGCUUCCCAUAUCUGGAGCAUUUCACUUUAAAUAUUUGGAUAAAUAUGUUAUCUUCUUACUUGGACAUUUCAUGUGUUUAGGGAUUGUCUUCUAAAUUCUUCCUAAUUCAUAUAGCUGCUAACACUUCCCGCAGAGCUAAACCAUUACAGAUAUGAAAUAAAGACCUAUUGAUUU
ensembl:lncRNA ARLNC1 androgen receptor regulated long noncoding RNA 1